GGGCGCAUGGUGUAGUUGGUUAUCACGCCCGCUUAGCAUUAAGCUGAUUGCGGGCGGUGCUGGGUUCAAUUCCCAGUGUGUCCA